rnacentral:lncRNA from 10 species
GCAUUAAUUUACCAGAGGUCGGGUCAGGCUGUCUUAACGCAGGCAGAGGGGUGUGGCAGAUCUCCAACCGCUCGGGGUCCCGUGAUUUCCAUUAAUGAAUUCGCACACUGGCGUUACCACUCAACACACCGACGUGUCUUGAUUGGCUACAGCCAACUGCCAGCUAGAGGGACAAAUGACUCUAAGUGAUGUUGUCCUUAAAGGUGAGUCUUUAGAGUCACAGAGCAGGAGGAGAAAGGUAGAGAAUAGAUC